AUUGAACGCUGGCGGCAGGCCUAACACAUGCAAGUCGAGCGGAUGAAGGGAGCUUGCUCCUGGAUUCAGCGGCGGACGGGUGAGUAAUGCCUAGGAAUCUGCCUGGUAGUGGGGGAUAACGUCCGGAAACGGGCGCUAAUACCGCAUACGUCCUGAGGGAGAAAGUGGGGGAUCUUCGGACCUCACGCUAUCAGAUGAGCCUAGGUCGGAUUAGCUAGUUGGUGGGGUAAAGGCCUACCAAGGCGACGAUCCGUAACUGGUCUGAGAGGAUGAUCAGUCACACUGGAACUGAGACACGGUCCAGGCUCCUACGGGAGGCAGCAGUGGGGAAUAUUGGGCAGUGGGCGAAAGCCUGAUCCAGCCAUGCCGCGUGUGUGAAGAAGGUCUUCGGAUUGUAAAGCACUUUAAGUUGGGAGGAAGGGCAGUAAGUUAAUACCUUGCUGUUUUGACGUUACCAACAGAAUAAGCACCGGCUAACUUCGUG
rnacentral:rRNA from 1 species